AUUGAACGCUGGCGGCAGGCCUAACACAUGCAAGUCGAACGAGUGGCGGACGGGUGAGUAAUGUCUGGGAAACUGCCCGAUGGAGUGGGAUAACUACUGGAAACGGUAGCUAAUACCGCAUACCAUCGGAUGUGCCCAGAUGGGAUUAGCUUUUAGGUGAGGUAACGGCUCACCUAGGCGACGAUCCCUAGCUGGUCUGAGAGGAUGAGCAGCCACACUAGAACUGAGCUGAGGUACAGACUCCUACGCGACGCAGCAGAGGGGAAUAUUGCACAAUGGACUCAAGCCUGGUCUGACCCUGCCGCGUAUAGUGAGAAGUCAUUCCGGUUGUAAAGUAAUUUCAGUGGGGAAGCGUUACCCGAUGAAGAAGCACCGGCUAACUCCGUGCCAGCAACCGCGGUAAUUC
rnacentral:rRNA from 1 species